GCAAGAAGUAGGUGGUUUAAUAGGAUCCCGUGCUUUGUACGUCAGCUGCAGAGCAAGCACUAAUCUAACUCCGUGCCAGCAGCUCGGUAAUACGGAGGAUGCGAGCGUUAAUCGGAAUUAUGUGCGUAAGCGCAUGCAGUCGGUCAGCUAAGCCAGAUGUGAAACGCCCUGGCUCACCCUCGGACUCGCAUUUGGAACUGGCCAGGAUUAGAGUAUUGUAAGAGGGGGGUAGAAUUUCAGGUGUAGCGAGAAAUGCGUAGAGAUCGAAGGAAUACCGGUGGCGAAGGCGGCCCCCUGGACAAAGACUGACGUCAGAUGCGAAAGCGUGGGGAGCAAACAGGAUUAGAUACUUGGUAGUCCACGCCGUAAACGAUGUAUACUUGGAGGUUGGUGUCUUGAACACUGGCUUUCGGAGCUAACGCGUUAAGUAGACCGCCUGGGGAGUACGGUCGCAAGAUUAAAACUCAAAUGAAUUGACGGGGGCCCCCACAAGCGGUGGAGCAUGUGGUUUAAUUAGAUGCAACGCGAAGAACCUUACCUACUCUUGACAUCCAGAGAACUUUCCAGAGAUGGAUGGGUGCUUUCGGGAACUGGGAGACAGGUGCUGCAUGGCUGUCGUCAGCUCGUGUUGUGAAAUGUUGGGUUAAGUCCCGCAACGAGCGCAACCCUUAUCCUUGUUUGCCACCACUUCGGGUGGGAACUCCAGGGAGACUGCCGGUGAUAAACCGGAGGAAGGUGGGGACGACGUCAAGUCAUCAUGGCCCUUACGAGUAGGGCUACACACGUGCUACAAUGGCGUAUACAGAGGGCGGCGAGCUAGCGAUAGUGAGCGAAUCCCACAAAGUACGUCGUAGUCCGGAUUGGAGUCUGCAACUCGACUCCAUGAAGUCGGAAUCGCUAGUAAUCGUGGAUCAGAAUGCCACGGUGAAUACGUUCCCGGGCCUUGUACACACCGCCCGUCACACCAUGGGAGUGGGCUGCACCAGAAGUAGAUAGCUUAACCUCGGGAGGGCGUUCCCCCAACGGUGGG
rnacentral:rRNA from 1 species